rnacentral:other from 1 species
UAACGCCUGGGGCGUGCGACAAUCCCUGUUUUAUUUGAACCUACAUCUACUUUAAAUGGGAGUCCGACGUCACGAAGUCCUAUGUCAGGCCGCCGCCGAUAAAAAGGACACGGGGCAAGACCCCGCGUAGGAGCGGAAGACAGAAGAUUAGUUUGGGAUACCCACCUAGCUUUUGCUAGGAGUCAAUGGGCAGGGGUAUCGGCGUCUUGGGUUAUUU